UACGGAGGGGGCUAGCGUUGUUCGGAAUUACUGGGCGUAAAGCGCACGUAGGCGGCUUUGUAAGUUAGAGGUGAAAGCCCGGGGCUCAACUCCGGAAUUGCCUUUAAGACUGCAUCGCUAGAAUUGUGGAGAGGUAAGUGGAAUUCCGAGUGUAGAGGUGAAAUUCGUAGAUAUUCGGAAGAACACCAGUGGCGAAGGACGACUUACUGGACACAU
rnacentral:rRNA from 1 species